rnacentral:misc_RNA from 1 species
UUUCCGUAGGUGAACCUGCGGAAGGAUCAUUACUGAGUUAGGACCCUCUGUGUACAACAUCCCGCACGUGUUUAUUGUCCCUGUUUGCUUCGGUGAGCCCGCCUCACUGCCGCCGAGAGGAAUCUGCCCCCGGGCCCGCGGUCGCCGAAGAAACCAAUGACCUCUGUCUGAAGUUUGCAGUCUGAGCGAAAACUAAAUAAGUUAAAACUUUCAACAACGGAUCUCUUGGUUCUG